AUGGCAUUUCAAAACUCAUUUCAUAACGCAUUUCAUUUAACUCGAUUUCUGGGAAAAUCAAUAGUAUAUAGAUAUAUAUAGAAAACAAAUGCCCACUCACCUGGGGUCCGCGCUACAACUCCCUAACAUCAAAACCAAGGCAUCCCGAACGCUCGGCUCCUAAAACAGUUAUCAAACCACGUCUCAGAACUCUUAUCCAUAGAAUAUGAAAUUCACAUAACACAUAGCCAAAAGGGCAUUCAAGAAUAAUGCGAGACCCUUUGAUCAAAGGUCAACCGUCGACUAAGUUCGACGGUAGGGUCAUAACCCCACAUAACUCAAUCCGAAAGAUCCACAACUCAGAUUUCC
rnacentral:lncRNA from 1 species